rnacentral:lncRNA from 1 species
AGCAUGUGCACAUCUGAUGGAAUGUAUAUGGACACUGUGAAGGAGUAGCAUAGGCAAAGGGUGAUGUAUGUUAAGUUGCUGCCUAUUUUGUAAAGCAGUAAUUUGAGAGGUUGGAGGAUAAGAAGAAAAGCAGCUAUGCGGCGGCAUGAAUUGUUAUCACAGCAAAGCUUACUCCAUUGGCUUUGUCAUUUACAUUUAUUCCAUUUCCAGUGGCUCAUCCCUUCUGCAAACUCACAGUGAGUAGACAUGUGAGGGAAGAACAGGCAUCUUAUUGCUGGCUCAACAAGUCUAGCAAUGUGUAGUUGCUGUGAUCUACAAGUAUUUGAUCUGUGUGGAUAUUACUGUGAAAAGCUGCAUCAAAUUAUCAUCAUCAUCGCUGCUGAGGAUCCCGAUUCCAGCUGUUCCUGGUGUCUAGGCAAGAAACUCCCAGGUAACAACCAGAUGAAUCUCAAAACUGCAGCAAACAGAAAAAGUUUUGUCAGGAAACCAGGAGGGAAAUGUUUGUUGGGAGUAGAGAAUUGUUUCUUCCUGAAUGUGUCUUCUUGGGGUUUUUUGUUGUUGUUGGUUUUUUUGGUCAGCUUCUUCAAAAUAUGUACAUAUUUUUAAGAGGGUAACCAGGGUUUAGAUAUAACCAGUCACUACUUAAUUGUUCUCAAACGUUGUAUCUCAACCUAAAAUGAAUUGAAUGACUGUACUUUAUUUCACCUAUUACAAAUUUCUUUGUAGUCCCAUAUUAUGUUAUCCCUACAGCUAUUAGAUACAGUACCACUGUGAUACUGCCCUCCUGAUAUAGCAGUGUACAGUGAAGUCAAACCUACUGUGUGGGUCAUAAUAAAAAAGAUCUGUUUUUCUUUGGAGACA